rnacentral:RNase_P_RNA from 1 species
UGAGUCGGCCAGGCGGCCGCGUUUCCCGGGCUCGCCCGGGGACCGAGGAACGUCCGGGCUCCACAGGGCAGGGUGGUGGCUAACGGCCACCUGGGGUGACCCACGGGACAGUGCCACAGAGAGAAGACCGCCACGCACGUCCUCCGGGACGAGCGGGGCAAGGGUGAAAGGGUGCGGUAAGAGCGCACCAGCGUGCCGGGUGACCGGCGCGGCUAGGUAAACCCCACCCGGAGCAAGGCCAGACAGGGAGCGAGCUGCCCGCUCGAUGCUCCCGGGUAGGCCGCUGGAGGCGUGCGGCAACGUACGUCGUAGAUGGAUGGUCGCCACCGGUCGACGGGUAACCGUCGGCGGGACACAAAACCCGGCGUAUCGGCCGGCUCAUCCC